UAUGCUUUCCGGCUGAACGAGAUGUGCACACGUGACAGGAAUAUUUGGCGGGCGAGAUGCCCACUGAUAUGCUUCUAUGUUGUCGAGUGGCACUACCCAGACCGUGUCGCAAGACAAUUUGGGAGAAGGCAAGGGACACCAAGGGAUGAGAGUUUCGAGACAAGCCAAUUUCUGCAUCGAAUUAGUCGAAAGAAUAACCCGGAAACUUCGACUUGGGCCAUCAAGCACUCCGAGUGGAUAGAUUUGUGGAAUCAAAGAGUGGCCCUAGUGGAGAAGGAAAGAAUACAACAUAGUGAUUCAGUAUACGAAGAGCAUCUGAAGUGGCUUGCGGGACGUUACCGGUUGAAGCUAAAGCCCGGUUGGAACCGUUCGGAAUUGCAAGAGUUGGAUCGUGAGAGCGGGUAUAUGGACUUCAAUGUACAAACAGAGACAACGAAGGGACACAACUUGACUAUGCACAACUACACGACCGAGUGGGCAUGGAGUUAUUGCAUUAUGUUAACGAGGCUGGUGUAGCACUUGGUGAAGAUGAGGGAAGUGGAUCAUCUGAGAAAUCUCUUAGGAAAACAAUGAAGAGUUUCGUGAGUCGAUUCCACAAGAUGGCAGCUAUGCUCUCUUGCCAUGGAAGUAAAGCCGUCCUCACGGCUGGAGCUUCUACUAGUCGGGACAAUAGACGGCGUCGUCGUCUUGUCUUGCAACAGGAACAACAAGAGGAGCAACUGCAAGAAGAGACAGAGCAAGAGGAGGCACAGCAAGAUGAAGAGGAGUACAAUCAAGACGAAGAGGAGGUGCUUGGGAUGUCCCAAAUGGAUGAUGCGCCUGAGCCAUCACAGCCCACACAACGCACGCCGCGCAGCAAAAGAGGAAGGAAGAAGUGAAUUAGUUAAUACUAGAUUCUCGCGAACUUUGUUAUGUUUGAUUUGUGAACUUUAGAAGUGGCGUGAACUUUGCUACCUGGACUUGUGUUUAA